rnacentral:rRNA from 1 species
GACGAACGCUGGCGGCGUGCUUAACACAUGCAAGUCGAACGAAGUGGCGAACGGUUGAGGAAUACGUGAGUAACCUGCCCUCCUUUUUGGGAUAAGCCUUGGAAACGGUGUCUAAUACCGAAUAAAUGGGGAUGGGCUCGCUGCCUAUCAGCUGGUUGGUGGGGUGAUCGACUACAAAGGGGGUGACGGGUAGCCGGCCUGAGAGGGUGACCGGGCACAUUGGGAACGAGAUACGGCCCAGACUCCUACGGGAGGCAGCAGUGGGGGAUAUUGCACAAUGGGCGAAAGCCGGAUCCAGCGACGCCGCGUGGGGGAUGAAGGAUUUCGGGUUGUAAACCUCUUUCGCUAUCGAAGGGGUAGGUGGAGAGGAUGCGCCGGCUAACUACGUGCCAGCCGCCGCGGUAAUUC